GAUGAACGCUGGCGGCGUGCCUAAUACAUGCAAGUCGAACGAAUGGAUUAAGAGCUUGCUCUUAUGAAGUUAGCGGCGGACGGGUGAGUAACACGUGGGUAACCUGCCCAUAAGACUAGGAUAACUCCGGGAAACCGGGGCUAAUACCGGAUAACACUUUGAGCUGCAAGGUUCGAAAUUGAAAGGCGGUCUCGGCUGUCACUUAUGGAUGUACCCGCGUCGCAUUAGCUAGUUGGUGAGGUAACGGCUCACCAAGGCAACGAUGCGCAGCCGACCUGAGGGGGUGAUCGGCCACACUGGGACUGAGACACGGCCCAGACUCCUACGGGAGGCAGCAGUAGGGAAUCUUCCGCAAUGGACGAAAGUCUGACGGAGCAACGCCGCGUGAGUGAUGAAGGCUUUCGGGUCGUAAAACUCUGUUGUUAGGGAAGAACAAGUGCUAGUUGAAUAAGCUGGCACCUUGACGGUACCUAACCAGAAAGCCACGGCUAACUACGUGCCAGCAGCCGCGGUAA
rnacentral:rRNA from 1 species